AAGGAGAAUUUAAGCAGUGUAUG
rnacentral:miRNA from 1 species